rnacentral:tRNA from 1 species
GAGGAUAUAGCUCAAGUGGUAGAGCACAGGCUCAGCAUGCAUGAGGUCCUGGGUUCAAUCCCCAGUACCUGCA